GGACCACAUGGCUCAGUGGCAGAACAUUUGCUUAGCAUGCAGAUGGUCCCAGGUUCUAUCCCCGGAAUCUCCA
rnacentral:tRNA from 1 species